CUGUUGCUGCUGCUCUUCAUCAUCUUCUUCAUCCUCAGGAGGAGGAGGAGGAGCCAGAGGACAAACCCCACAGGUCCAUUGGAGGAAAAUGUUUAUGUGACAAUGCACGGUCACCAUGGCGACAAGGGGAAAGCUAUAGAGGAGAAGCAGGAGUCUCAUUAUGUUCCAUGUCAUCCUGUUGUUUCCAUGGAAACACCAAUCACAGAGCAGAUGUCUGAGGAUGUAGAAGAUGUCUACGUGUGAUGACCAAUCAGAGAUCAGCUUGUUUUCACCUCAGCUCACCGUUAGUUCAUCGUCCACUGUCGUCCGGUGUUUAUUUUUCAACUAUGAUUAUUAUUAUUAUUGAUAAAUAAAUAUAAAGUGAACUUAUGUAGGGAGCUUUAUUAUGAUUCUGUUAUUUUAUCUUUGUACUUUUAUUUAAACUGUUUUUUUUUUUUUUUUAUCGGGGAGUUGCUUCCACUCGACACUGUCAUAACAAGUGAUACAAAGUGCAGGGUCUGGACAUAAUGUGUGUAUGAACUGAGUAUAAUGUACAUGUCCACCACUGUGAUUUAAUAAAUUCAACAUUA